rnacentral:lncRNA from 1 species
AUGGGCUCAAUAAAGGACAGAAAUGGUCUGGACCUAACAGAAGCAGAAGAUAUUAAGAAGAGGUGGCAAGAAUACACGGAAGAACUGUAUAAAAAAGAUCUUCACGACCCAGAUAAUCAUGAUGAUGUGAUCACUAAUCUAGAGGCAGACAUCUUGGAAUGUGAAGUCAAGUGGGCCUUAGAAAGAAUCAUUAAGAACAAAGCUAGUGAAGGUGAUGGAAUUCCAGUUGAGCUGUUUCAAAUCCUGAAAGAUGAUGCUGUGAAAGUGCUACACUCAAUAUGCCAGCAUAUUUGGAAAACUCAGCAGUGGCCACAGGACUGGAAAAGGUCAGUUUUCAUUCCAAUUCCAAAGAAAAGCAAUGCCAAAGAAUGCUCAAACUACCACACAAUUGCACUCAUCUCACAUGCUAGUAAAGUAAUGCUCAAAAUUCUUCAAGCCAGGCUUCAGCAAUAUGUGAACCGUGAACUCCCUGAUGUUCAAGCUGGUUUUAGAAAAGGCAGAGGAACCAGAGAUCAAAUUGCCAACAUCUGCUGGAUCAUGGAAAAAGCAAGGGAGUUCCAGAAAAACAUCUAUUUCUGCUUUAUUGACUAUGCCAAAGCCUUUGACUGUGUGGAUCACAAUAAACUGUGGAAAAUUCUGAGAGAGAUGGGAAUACCAGACCACCUGACCUGCCUCUUGAGAAAUCUGUAUGCAAGUCAGGAAGCAACAGUUAGAACUGGACAUGGAACAACAGACUGGUUCCAAAUAGGAAAAGGAUACUUACAUCAAGGCUGUAUAUUGUCACCCUGCUUAUUUAACUUAUAUGCAGAGGACAUCAUGAGAAAUGCUGGACUGGAAGAAACACAAGCUGGAAUCAAGAUUGCCGGCAGAAAUAUCAAUAACCUCAGAUAUGCAGAUGACACCACCCUUAUUGCAGAAAGUGAAGAGGAGCUAAAAAGCCUCUUGAUGAAAGUGAAAAAGGAGAAUGAAAAAGUUGGCUUAAAGCUCAACAUUCAGAAAACGAAGAUCAUGGCAUCUGGUCCCAUCACUUCAUGGGAAAUAGAUGGCGAAACAGUGGAGACAGUGUCAGACUUUAUUUUGAGGGGCUCCAAAAUCACUGCAGAUGGUGACUGCAGCCAUGAAAUUAAAAGACACUUAUUCCUUGGAAGAAAAGUUAUGACGAAUCUAGAAGGUAUAUUAAAAAGCAGAGACAUUACUUUGCCGACUAAGGUCCGUCUAGUCGAGGCUAUGGUUUCUCCAGUGGUCAUGUAUGGAUGUGAGAGUUGGACCGUGAAGAAGGCUGAGCGCCGAAGAAUUGAUGCUUUUGAACUUUGGUGUUGGAGAAGACUCUUGAGAGUCCCUUGGACUGCAAGGAGAUCCAACCAGUCCACUCUGAAGGAGAUCAACCGUGGGAUUUCUUUGGAAGGAAUGAUGCUAAAGCUGAAGCUCCAGUACUUUGGCCACCUCAUGGGAAGAGUUGACUCAUUGGAAAAGACUCUGAUGCUGGGAGGGAUUGGGGGCAGGAGGAGAAGGGAACGACCCAGGAUGAGAUGGCUGGAUGGCAUCACGGGCUUGAUGGAUGUGAAUCUGAGUGAACUCCGGGAGAUGGUGAUGGACAGGGAGGCCUGGCGUGCUGUGAUUCAUGGGGUCGCAAAAAGUCAGAUACGACUGAGCGACUGA